UACGUAGGGGGCAAGCGUUGUCCGGAUUUAUUGGGCGUAAAGAGCUCGUAGGUGGUUCGGUAAGUCGGAUGUGAAAUCUCCAGGCUCAACCUGGAGGGGUCAUUCGAUACUGCCGUGACUAGAGGUCGGUAGGGGAGUGUGGAAUUCCUGGUGGAGCGGUGAAAUGCGCAGAUAUCGGGAGGAACACCCGUAGCGAAGGCGGCACUCUGGGCCGAUACUGACACUGAGGAGCGAAAGCGUGGGGAGCGAACAGG
rnacentral:rRNA from 1 species